rnacentral:rRNA from 1 species
UACAGAGGGUGCAAGCGUUAUUCGGAAUUAUUGGGCGUAAAGCGCACGUAGGCGGUCUUGUAAGUCUGGUGUGAAAUCCCUGAACUCAAUUCAGGAAGUGCAUUGGAUACUGCGAGACUAGAGAAUGGGAGAGGAGAGCGGAAUUCCUGGUGUAGAGGUGAAAUUCGUAGAUAUCAGGAGGAACAACAGAGGCGAAGGCGGCUCUCUGGACCAUUUCUGACGCUGAGGUGCGAAAGCGUGGGGAGCAAACAGG